CAGAACAUUAAAUUCGGGAUAAGGGGCCUCUCGGCCUUUGUUCCCGUCUUUAAAAAUUCCAUUCACCCUUGUGAACCACCGCGUGGGUCCUUAGGGGUCCUUCGGGGCCCCGAAGGCUCGCGAUUCUACAUACGCCUUUGAAAGUCUCGGAAUGUACGAUAGCGUUAAUCGCAGACAAUA
rnacentral:misc_RNA from 1 species